GAUCAAGUGUCUUAAGGGCAUCUGGUGAAUGCCUUGGCAUGCACAGGCGAUGAAGGACGUGGUACGCUGCGAUAAGCCAUGGGGAGCUGCGAACAAGCUUUGAUCCGUGGAUUUCCGAAUGGGGAAACCCACCUCCGAUUCCUAGAAGAUCGGAACGUCACUGGUUGAGCGAUGAGCUUGGCCGGUGGUGUUGCGGUUUCUAGGGAUCAACAGCGAGGUAUCUAACUCUGAAUCCAUAGGGGUUAGAAGCGAACUCGGGGAACUGAAACAUCUAAGUACCCGAAGGAAAGGACAUCAACCGAGACUCCGUCAGUAGCGGCGAGCGAACGCGGACCAGGCCAGUGGUUCUACAAGAGAGAAGCCGAACAAGUUGGAAAGCUUGGCACGAGUGGGUGAUAGCCCCGUAGGCAUAAUGCUCUGUAGGAUCCUCGAGUAGGGCGGGACACGUGAAAUCCUGUCUGAAAUUGGGGGGACCACCCUCCAAGCCUAAGUACUCGUGCAUGACCGAUAGCGAACCAGUACCGUGAGGGAAAGGUGAAAAGCACCCCGACAAGGGGAGUGAAAGAGAACCUGAAACCGGAUGCCUACAAACAGUGGGAGCCAUCAUUGGUGACCGCGUACCUUUUGUAUAAUGGGUCAGCGACUUAGUCUGGCGAGCAAGCUUAAGCCGAUAGGUGGAGGCGCAGCGAAAGCGAGUCUGAACAGGGCGUUCAGUUCGUCGGAUUAGACCCGAAACCGAGUGAUCUAGCCAUGAGCAGGUUGAAGGUGCGGUAACACGCACUGGAGGACCGAACCCGCAUCUGUUGCAAUAGAUUGGGAUGACUUGUGGCUAGGGGUGAAAGGCCAAUCAAACUCGGAAAUAGCUGGUUCUCCGCGAAAUCUAUUUAGGUAGAGCGUCGGAUGAAUACUCCAGGGGGUAGAGCACUGGAUGGGCUAGGGGGACUCACCGUCUUACCAAACCCAACCAAACUCCGAAUACCUGGAAGUACUAUCCGGCAGACACACGGCGGGUGCUAACGUCCGUCGUGAAGAGGGAAACAACCCUGACCACCAGCUAAGGUCCCCAAGUUAUGGCUAAGUGGGAAAGGAUGUGAGGAUCCCAAAACAACCAGGAUGUUGGCUUAGAAGCAGCCAUCAUUUAAAGAAAGCGUAACAGCUCACUGGUCUAGAUUUAAGGGUUCUUGCGCCGAAAAUGUAACGGGGCUCAAGCCAUACACCGAAGCUGUGGGUUCAUCUUUUAGGAGAUGAGCGGUAGCGGAGCGUUCCCUAGGCUGUUGAAGCCGGACCCGUGAGGGCCGGUGGAGGUAUGGGAAGUGCGAAUGCUGACAUGAGUAACGAUAAAGGGUGUGAGAGACACCCUCGCCGAAAGUCCAAGGGUUCCUGCUUAAAGUUAAUCUGAGCAGGGUUAGCCGGCCCCUAAGGCGAGGCCGAAAGGC
rnacentral:rRNA from 1 species